GGUAUCAGCCAGCAGCACAGGCCCUGGUGUAAUGUGGAUGCCAUCAGCCAGCACCACAGGCCCUGGUGUGGUGAAGAUGGCCUCACAGGAAGCACAGGCCCUGGUGUAAUGUGGAUGGUAUCAGCCAGCACCACAGGCUCUGGUGAAAUGUAGAUGACGUCAGCCAGCAGCGCAGGCCCUGGUAUAAUGUGGAUGGCCUCGGCCAGCACCACAGGGCCUGGUGUGGUGAAGACGGCCUCAGCCAGAAGCACUGGCCCUGGUGUAAUGUGGAUGGCUUCAGCCAGCACCGCAGGCCCUGGUGAAAUAUAGAUGGCAUCAGCCAGCACCACAGGCUCUGGUGAAAUGUAGAUGACGUCAGCCAGCAGCGCAGGCCCUGGUAUAAUGUGGAUGGCCUCGGCCAGCACCACAGGGCCUGGUGUGGUGAAGACGGCCUCAGCCAGAAGCACUGGCCCUGGUGUAAAAUGGAUUGCAUCAGCCAGCAGCACAGGCCCUGGUGUGGUGAAGAUGGCCUCACAGGAAGCACAGGCCCUGGUGUGAUAUGGAUGGUAUCAGCCAGCACCACAGGGCCUGGUGAAAUAUAGAUGGCAUCAGCCAGCACCACAGGCCCUGGUGUGGUGAAGACGGCCUCAGCCAGAAGCACAGGCCCUGGUGUAAUGUGGAUGGCAUCAGCCAGCAGCACAGGCCCUGGUGUGGUGAAGAUGGCCUCACAGGAAGCACUGGCUCUGGUGUAAAAUGGAAGGCAUCAGCCAGAAGCACAGGCCCUGGUGUGAUAUGGAUGGUAUCAGCCAGCACCACAGGCUCUGGUGAAAUGUAGAUGACGUCAGCCAGCAGCGCAGGCCCUGGUGUGGUGAAGAUGGCCUCACAGGAAGCACUGGCUCUGGUGUAAUAUGGAUGGUAUCAGCCAGCAGCACAGGCUCUGGUGAAAUGUAGAUGACGUCAGCCAGCAGCGCAGGCCCUGGUGUAAUGUGGAUGGCAUCAGCCAGCAGCACAGGCCCUGGUGUGGUGAAGAUGGCCUCACAGGAAGCACAGGCCCUGGUGUGAUAUGGAUGGUAUCUGCCAGCACCACAGGCUCUGGUGAAAUGUAGAUGACGUCAGCCAGCAGCGCAGGCCCUGGUGUAAUGUGGAUGCCAUCAGCCAGCACCACAG
ensembl:lncRNA